rnacentral:rRNA from 1 species
GUGAGGAAUAUUGGUCAAUGGGCGCGAGCCUGAACCAGCCAAGUCGCGUGAGGGAAGACGGUCCUACGGAUUGUAAACCUCUUUUGUCGGGGAGCAAUAAGGCGUACGUGUACGCAGAUGCGAGUACCCGAAGAAAAAGCAUCGGCUAACUCCGUGCCAGCAGCCGCGGUAAUACGGAGGAUGCGAGCGUUAUCCGGAUUUAUUGGGUUUAAAGGGUGCGCAGGCGGAAAGUGCAAGUCAGCGGUCAAACGACGGGGCUCAACCCCGUCUCGCCGUUGAAACUGUCUUUCUAGAGUGAGCGAGAAGUAUGCGGAAUGCGUGGUGUAGCGGUGAAAUGCAUAGAUAUCACGCAGAACUCCGAUUGCGAAGGCAGCAUACCGGCGCUCAACUGACGCUCAUGCACGAAAGCGUGGGUAUCGAACAGGAUUAGAUACCCCGGUAGUCC